rnacentral:rRNA from 1 species
GACGAACGCUGGCGGCGUGCCUAACACAUGCAAGUCGAACGGGGUAUUUCUUCGGAGAUACUUAGUGGCGAACGGGUGAGUAACGCGUGAGAAACCUGCCUUUCCGUGGGGGACAACAGUUGGAAACGACUGCUAAUACCGGAUAAUGUUAUUUGGGGGCAUCCUCGAAUAACCAAAGAUUUAUUGCUGAAAGAUGGUCUCGCGUCUGAUUAGCUAGAGGGCGGGGUAACGGCCCCCCAUGGCGACGAUCAGUAGACGGUCUGAGAGGAUGAACGGCCGCAUUGGGACUGAGGUACGGCCCAGACUCCUACGGGAGGCGGCAGUGGGGAAUAUUGGGCAAUGGGGGAAACCCUGACCCAGCAACGCCGCGUGAAGGAAGAAGGCCUUCGGGUUGUAAACUUCUUUUAGUAGGGGCGAAGAACGUGACGGUACCUACAGAAAAAGCAACGGCUAACUACGUGCCAGCCGCCGCCGUAACAC